rnacentral:rRNA from 1 species
AUUGAACGCUGGCGGCAGGCCUAACACAUGCAAGUCGAACGGUAACAGGGAUCAGCUUGCUGAUUCGCUGACGAGUGGCGGCCGGGUGAGUAAUGUCUGAGAAACUGCCUGAUGGAGGGGGAUAACUACUGGAAACGGUAGCUAAUACCGCAUAACGUCGCAAGACCAAAGAGGGGGACCUUCGGGCCUCUUGCCAUCGGAUGUGCCCCGAUGGGAUUAGCUAGUAGGUGGGGUAACGGCUCACCUAGGCGACGAUCCCUAGCUGGUCUGAGAGGAUGACCAGCCACACUGGAACUGAGACACGGUCCAGACUCCUACGGGAGGCAGCAGUGGGGAAUAUUGCACAAUGGGCGCAAGCCUGAUGCAGCCAUGCCGCGUGUAUGAAGAAGGCCUUCGGGUUGUAAAGUACUUUCAGCGGGGAGGAAGGGAGUAAAGUUAAUACCUUUGCUAAUUGACGUUACCCGCAGAAGAAGCACCGGCUAACUCCGUG